rnacentral:rRNA from 1 species
GUGGGGAAUAUUGGGCAAUGGGGGCAACCCUGACCCAGCAACGCCGCGUGAAGGAAGAAGGUUUUCGGAUCGUAAACUUCUAUCCUUGGUGAAGAUAAUGACGGUAGCCAAGAAGGAAGCCCCGGCUAACUACGUGCCAGCAGCCGCGGUAAUACGUAGGGGGCAAGCGUUGUCCGGAAUGAUUGGGCGUAAAGGGCGCGUAGGCGGCCUGGUAAGUCUGGAGUGAAAGUCCUGCUUUUAAGGUGGGAAUUGCUUUGGAUACUGUCGGGCUUGAGUGCAGGAGAGGUAAGCGGAAUUCCCGGUGUAGCGGUGAAAUGCGUAGAGAUCGGGAGGAACACCAGUGGCGAAGGCGGCUUACUGGACUGUAACUGACGCUGAGGCGCGAAAGUGUGGGGAGCAAACAGGAUUAGAAACCCGAGUAGUCC